CAUUUUAUAAGUGACUGUUGCAGUAUCUCUAUGAAACGGACCGGUAUGCUUAUAUUUAGUUUCAUGCUGACGUUAUGCCAUGUUGCGACCCAUUUG
rnacentral:lncRNA from 1 species